UAUAUAUAUAUACACAUACAUACAUAGAUACAUGACUCUUGAAGACACAUAGCUUUCACUACACUACAGGAUAUGAUCUCCAUGUAGCACAUCUACAACUGCAGAUCGAUUUUCCUUGAGUGCUUUACACUGUUGAUUACAUCUCCAUGUAGGGCUGAAAAGAAUGACCCGUGUUUAUCUCUAUAACUGUGUUGCUUUGAUGUCGUGUUGCUGUGCACAGAAAUGUGUGCAGUGAGGUCCUGCAUAUGGUCCAGAUGAAAAGCACGGUAGCCUUGCGAGUUAAGUACUGCUUCGAUUCAUUGUUUACGCUGGAAUUUUUUCUCCCCAUGGAAUGUAAGUAAAACUUAGUGUUUGUCACCAAUAAAUAGUAAUACUAAAUUUUUUUUGUUAAUUUAUUCUUAAAUGCCACUACUGCUAGGUUGGUCCCUCCCAACCUGCUCCCUAUCCUUUUUUUAUUUUUAAGAAAAAAACUUUGUAAUGCUUGUGAUUCCAUUUGGGCAAAAUUCUGAAAUAACUUUAUAUCAAACCAUUGAUCAAUAAACAGCUACUAAUGAAUUUUUGGUCCUGUUGAGCAGUAACUGAAGCAGUAAGGGAAGAUGUGAGGGCAUGGAAGCAUGGCGUGGGGGGCACUGCUGCCAGUGAGGGGCGAGUGGGUGCCCGGGUGAAGGGAGGCACCUCUCAUCUGAACCUGACAUUGUCACCCAAAGAAAUGACUGAGGAGGAGAGAGGCUUCCUGGUCACUUCCCUCAGGCGGGCUCGUGCUCGGAGGAGUAAAGUGCACAUGCAGUGGUGCCAUCCAGUGUAAAGCUGAACAACCUGGAGCUCGGUGGGCCCAGAGAGGAUCAGGUAACAUUUUCCCAAGGCCCCGAACGAGGAGCAGCCCGGUAGACGGUGGAUUGGGUGUGGAUAAGGCUUCCGUGCUGUGAGGAGCGCCUGUAAAUAGAUCGUCUCACGAAGGGCCAAGAUGCUGCAGCAUAGACUCAGGAGGAUUGACCCUUAACUGCUUGCCAAGGAGAUGGACCAUCUUUCCGACGCAAGAUACCUACGGAUGAAGCACACAAAAGAACUACUGCACAGGAUGAAAAGCCAUCUGCUGUGACGGUGUGAAAAUGAAGGCAGAGGUGGAGGGUGGGAGGCAUCCCGUUGUCAGUACAGAGGACCCGACACGAGGGCCACAGGUGACGGCACUA